CUUAUUCAAACAAGUAAUUCUCUUAACUAAGGGCUAGGUUUUCAAUGUAUUUAGACACAUAAAGGUGCAGUUAGAAGUCCAGUGGGAAUCAGGUGUCUAAAUGCUUUUGAAAAUCCCCAUGUUCUGUUUCAGUGAGGGAGCAAAACUGGUCUGUGUUUUUUGUGGGUUUUUUUUCCUGGAAGAGGGAGCGAGGAGUGGCCAAGUUUGGAAUAUUGCUGUAGCUCUCUUUAAAUUACAGGAACAACAAAUUCAACUAUGACAGUAAGACUAUUCUCUGGGAGGGCUCCAGCUCUGGUAUUUUCUCCCCACCUUGGUCCAAAAUAGCUCAAACUUGAUGGUCAUCUAAGCACAUUGACAAGGUUUUAGGAGAAAGGCUGAAAACCCAAAGUUACAAAAAUAUUGUCACAGCAGAGAUUUUGAAUCCAUUUCAACAUCAUAGAAGAAGCCCCAUUCAUUGGUGCAUAAAGAAUAUCUUCAAAUGCUUCCUACAAUCCUUCUCAGUAUGUGAUUUUUUUUCUCAUUUCAAAAAAGAAAAGAAAUCCUCAAAAUGUCACCAACCCAUCCAAGUCUCCAGCUGUGAUUGUGUACCCCAGAUGCUGCUUCAAUUGAAAAGAUGGCUCUCCAAUUUUGGUUCCUGAUGGUUAUUUCUUAUUAAUAAUUUUUAUAUCAUCAUCAUAGCUGAGAGUGGAGAAUGUGAGGAUAGCUAUUGCAUAAGUAGAAGACUGGAUAUUUACACUGAAUAAUAUCUUACUCCUUGAGUCAAUGAGGCUCAGAAAUCAACAGUACAGUUCAAGUAGUAAGACUCUGAAUUAUUAACAUCCUUCUUGAAUUGUGGACCUCACAUCUGGACACAGCAUGCCAGCAGUGGUGGUAUCAGUGCCAAAUACAGUGCAGACUCCAAAAGACAACAGUGCACCUGCUUUCACAACCAAAAAGGCGAGAAACUUAAUUAUUUUAAAGAAAGAAGAAAUAAUUUCUGGAGUAUAGAAAAAUUGAUUCUGAGAGCAGUCCGGAAGGAGACUUGAAAUCUUCAGAAUAUGCAAAUUCUGAUGGUCCAGCUGACCAGAGUACUCAGGGACGAUGCCUGCAGCUGCAUCCUGAUUUCACGGCCAAAUGAAGCAAUCAAAGAAACUCAACAGCAGGAAGGAGUAAAGUGAGCCAGAUGUGAGCAUAAUGAAUAAACCGCAGGGUGCAAGCUCAGGACCAUGAAUAGGCUUGUUAGUCAGAGUUCAAAUCUUUGGCAAGCAAGCCACUUCCAUGAAAUCUAAAUAAAAACUGCCUUUGUAUUGGCCUCAUGCUCUCUUAGUAUGUGAAAAUGUAUGUUAAGACUUGCCAAGUUUCAUACAUUUUGACUGAGACUCACUCAUUGUGGGAUAAGCUAUAAGGUAAUUUGAAACCAAGCCAAACCAAACCCCUCUCACUUUUGUAAUGCUGGGUUUUUCAUUCUACCUCUGUGAAGCAGAUUUUACUCCUAUUUUUUGGGAAAAUUCAUUCAUUUAGGGACAUAUUCAGACUUCAGCAAUACACCUGUGCAGAUUCCAAUGAAAUCAGGGGGAAUCAAAAGCAUGUACUUGAUGACAAAAAUCUUUGUAACCCAUCCAUCAAGUAAUUUCUAUGGCAUUCAUCGUAGUCAUAUCCUUAUACCUAUGGCUC